rnacentral:lncRNA from 1 species
AGAAGCUGCAGAGCUGCAGCUGGCUGGACAGAAGUGAUCCACACACAUAAAUCACACAUGCAUGUGUGUCACCAUAGAAAAACGGGUCACGCAAACACGGCUGGAAACCAGCAGGCUGGGGCCCAGGGCAAACACUUCAGCGCCACAGACAACGUGCAGUGACUACACCUUCCGGAGCUAUGCAGAAUUCGAGCAGUGAGAGCAGACGUGCCAGGCUUCUUCACAGUCCCAAGGGAAGGCAAGCUGUCUUUCCCCAUUAGUAUGUCAACUGCAGCAUGUUUUGUAGAUGAUCUUUAUGUGAGAUUUUAAAAGUGUUCCUGUAUUCCUAUUUUUCUGGUAGUUUUUAUCCUGAGUGUUAAGUUUUAUCAAAUGCUUUUUCUGACUCUAUUUAUAUGAUCAUGUGAUU